UACGAAGGGGGCUAGCGUUGCUCGGAAUCACUGGGCGUAAAGGGUGCGUAGGCGGGUCUUUAAGUCAGGGGUGAAAUCCUGGAGCUCAACUCCAGAACUGCCUUUGAUACUGAAGAUCUUGAGUUCGGGAGAGGUGAGUGGAACUGCGAGUGUAGAGGUGAAAUUCGUAGAUAUUCGCAAGAACACCAGUGGCGAAGGCGGCUCACUGGCCCGAUACUGACGCUGAGGUGCGAAAGCGUGGGG
rnacentral:rRNA from 1 species